rnacentral:lncRNA from 1 species
GUGUUUAGAGCUUAAUCAAGGCAUGAAAUACGUCUUCUUUCAUGCACCUGCUUUUCAAAUAUUAUAUUCUUUAAUUAAUUUUAUGUGUGGACAUCUCUACGUUAAGCUUUCCAAAUGAUCAUUGUAGCAAGUUUUAGGCUGAUAACUUUCAAGUCAUAUAAAUUUAGGGCACCUAGAUUUAAACCCUUACAAGCUUAAUCUCUCGAGUCAUAUGCUAGUUGUCACUUUAUUAUUUUGAGCUCAAGUGCACAAGCC